rnacentral:lncRNA from 1 species
UUAAUGGAUUGUCCCCCACCCAGCUGAAGGUGUUUUGUGCUAAUGAGCCACGUCCUCUGUUUUCUGCAGCCGGGCUCUGAUUGGAACCACCUAGAAACCACACCCCCGAAUAGCUUUCCAGCAGCUGAGAAUUCACGGAAGAGAAAAGAGAUGGGAUCAUGCCCAAUGCCACCAGCACAAAGGAUCCAUCUGCCUCCAGGUAAGGCUAAUUUGGAAACAUUUCUGCAGCCCAUGGAAGAGCUAAUUUAA